GACGAACGCUGGCGGCGUGCUUAACACAUGCAAGUCGAACGAUGAAGCCGGAGCUUGCUCUGGUGAAUUAGUGGCGAACGGGUGAGUAACACGUGAGUAACCUGCCCUUGACUCUGGGAUAACUGCGGGAAACUGUAGCUAAUACCGGAUACGACCCUCGGAGGCAUCUCCUGGGGGUGGAAAGAAUUUCGGUCAAGGAUGGACUCGCGGCCUAUCAGCGAGUUGGUGAGGUAAAGGCUCACCAAGGCGACGACGGGUAGCCGGCCUGAGAGGGUGACCGGCCACACUGAGACUGAGACACGGCCCAGACUCCUACGGGAGGCAGCAGUGGGGAAUAUUGCACAAUGGGCGCAAGCCUGAUGCAGCAACGCCGCGUGAGGGAUGACGGCCUUCGGGUUGUAAACCUCUUUUAGUAGGGAAGAAGCGAAAGUGACGGUACCUGCAGAAAAGCACCGGCUAACUACGUGCCAGCCGCCGCAGUAA
rnacentral:rRNA from 1 species